UACCAGCACCCCGAGUGGUCGGGACGAUUAUUGGGCCUAAAGCAUCCGUAGCCGGUUCUACAAGUCUUCCGUUAAAUCCACCUGCUUAACAGAUGGGCUGCGGAGGAUACUAUAGAGCUAGGAGGCGGGAGAGGCAAGCGGUACUUAGUGGGUAGGGGUAAAAUCCGUUGAUCCAUUGAAGACCACCAGUGGCGAAGGCGGCUUGCCAGAACGCACUCGACGGUGAGGGAUGAAAGCUGGAGGAGCAAACCGG
rnacentral:rRNA from 1 species